UACAGAAGUUUAAUGGUUUCCACCUAGUCUUGCAUAUUCUGCACAAUUAAAGUAAUAAUUUCUGAUUUUAUAUAUUUUUGUAAUGUACAUAUUUAUAUGAAGUUGAUGAUGAUUGUAUUGGAUGGACUCAAUUUCCCAUGAUGCAUCUGUCACACAUUGGAAUGUAUUGGAUGGACUCAAUCUCCCAUGAUGCAUCUGUGUCACUUCCUGUUUGGUGAAUCUAAUGAAUUAGCUGGUGAGGCUACAGAGGGUAAGCUACCUGUUUGAGGUGCUGCAUGCUUCAUUGUGUCUCAUGUGUACAAAGGUUCAUAUUGUUUAUGGUCAACUCAACAACGAAUUGUGACAUCCUCUCUUGGUUUACAAGCCGGUAAAGUGUUCUACGUUGUUUAUGUUUCCUUGUUGGAGAAAUAAAACAUCAGUUUGGAGAACCUGGCCUUGGAUUUGUGACUAAGAGCGGUACAGUAGAACACUACGGUGAAGUCAAGGACCAGAAGUAGUCAAACCUGCAUGCGAAAUUGGCAAGCUAUUAAGAGACUGCAGCAAGUGUUUGGCAAGAAGUGGUCUACACAUUCGGAAUGGAUUUCCCUUUAGGAGACUGAAGUAAAGAGCUAACAAGUAAGGCUAAGCGAGCAAGCAAGCACUUAAAGUUGGUGUUUGAAGUCGCGCAGCAUAUCUGUGAAUUGUCAUCAGAACUUCAUUGUUUUUGCUUUCUAAAGGAUCAUGAACAUUCCGAUUCAUUGAACUACUUUAAGAGUGGACUAUUGAGAUUGCAUUGAAAUUGCAGUUUGCAUUGACACAUGUUUGAAUGUUGAAUGAAUGAAUUUAAUGUUGUAGCCUGUUGCACAUGACCUGCAUUGAAUUCUACUUAAGUCUGUUUCUAUUGAAUUGUUUGUUUUGUCUGCAUUUAAGGUUGCUUGAUAUUUCAUUGCAGCUUAGUUAUACUAACUUGUGCUUGUAAACUAUUGCAAUUUUGAAAUUCUAUUUAUAAAUUCAUCUCAAAUCUUAACUUGUUUAUAAUUAAGGUUUAUGUUUAAACACUAAUUAUAUUGAAGCUUACUGUAGUGCUAUGUAUUGAUACAACGUUACCUCAUUUUAAUAACAGAUUAGUUUCAUUCCACGCACAAUUAUUACAACAUACAGAAAGUUAAAAAUGUCAGACUCUAGUGAACCCACAUUAAAGUACACACAAGAAAGAGUAGAUCUUCCUGGCCAAGAAGACUUAAACAAGGGACCGAUCGAAGAGAACACACAAGAUGAAGAUUUGGUGCAAGCUCAACAGCUUAUAGAAACUCAACAGAUACACAAAGGUGCAGAGAUUGGCGAUUCUAUUCCACCUGACCUUCGAAGAGGUCAACGUACACGUGUCCUUUCAAAAAAGGGAAAGCAAUUGCAAGAUGCUAAAUUGAAUGAUUUGGAAAGAGCAUUUGAACGUAUGUAUAAAAGAUGGAAGUACGAUAUUAAUGGGUUGAAGAGAUCAAUAAAACAUAAAGAAGAUCCAGAAUUUAUUACUGAAAUUGUCAAUGCCAUUAAUGCCCAUCAGGCUGAUGUAAGCGCCAUUUAUGAUCGAAUUAGAGCCAUCUCAGUUCCUGAUCUUGAAAUUAGGAGAAAGAUAGAUUCAUGUUAUGCCAUCACUAAAACUGCAAGAGAAAAGGCUCAAUGUUUCAUCACUGUUGCAGGUGAUCCAGAAGAUAUACCCUGGCCUGAGGCAGACUCAGUGUUUGAUCCUACAGAGUCUAGUGUUGUCUCUGUGCAAUCUUUUCCAGCUUCUAAAUCUUCCAGUUGGAUUUCUCUUGAGUCCGCACAGAAAAGGCAGCAAGCUGCAGCCGAAGUGGCAGCAACUCAAGAGGUCUUUAAAAUCAUGAAAUCUCAACACCAAUGUGAAGAGGAGAUCCGGGAAUUGGAAGCAGAAGAGAAGAAGGUGAUCGCGGAGCGAGAGGUACAAGAAAAGGCAAUGGAAGUAGAAAGAGCAAAGCAAAGAGCUCUUUUCGUAGCAGAAAGCAUUGAAAGGAAAAGGAAAUUGGAGGAAAAGAGAAAAGAGGUGGAGCGGCUAGAGGAGCUGAAGAAACAUAACGCUGCACAGGCCAGACUACAAGUUUACGCUGAGGAAGACCAACAAGAUCCUCCUGCAUCAACCUUUCAAGGUAGACUGGGCACCCAUGUUAUUGCAGGCAGCAUGUCUGGUCCUGUUAUCCCCCCAUUGGUGUCCUUGCAAGGUAAGGCCCCAGUUAGUAGAUCCUCUUUCACCCUCCCACAAGGCUACAGCGUUGAAGCAGUAGUACCUCAAGUAAAUAGUCAAACUACUUCACAUGAAGCCACCAAUAACCUUGUGAAAAUGCUCGCAGAGGCAAUAACAGCAAAUAGGAUUCCAAUACCAGAGCCUUCUGUCUUUUUUGGAGAUCCAUUGCAGUAUACAGACUGGAAGGUGUCCUUUCAGACUUUAAUUGACCGCAAGAACUUGUCAGCUCAAGAAAAACUCUAUUUCUUGCGAAAGUAUGUAGGAGGCGUGGCCAAGCGAGCUAUUGAAGGAUACUCCCUAGUCAAAACAGAGGAAGCCUACUGUGCUGCGUGGGACAUACUUGAUGACCGCUUCGGGAAUUCCUUUAUAGUUGGCAAAGCAUAUAGAGAUAAGAUACAUUCAUGGCAUAAGAUUUCCUCUAAAGAUAAUGAAGAUCUUCGUGAGUUUGCUGAUUUCUUAACCAGUGUUACAGCUGCCAUGCCUUAUGUUCAGGGCUUACAAACGCUAAAUGAUUGUGUUGAAAUUCAGAGAAUUGUGGCCAAGUUGCCUGACUGGUUGAGUUCCCGUUGGAACAGAACAGCUACAGUUUUCCAAGAUGAACAUAAUGCCUUUCCUGACUUCAAGUCAUUUGUUCAGUUUCUCAACAAAGAGGCCAGAAUUGUCUGUAACCCUAUUACAUCACUCCAAGCAUUGAAGUCUAUAGAACAAGAAAACUCUAGACAGAGUGAUCUAGAUCACAAGCUUCACAGAAAUCGUAACUCAACUGCUAAAACUUUCACUACAAAUUCAAGUGAGAAGACUAACCCUGUAUGCGUGUUUUGUAAAAGGCAUGGACAUUUCUUACACAAAUGCAGGAAGUUUAUGGAAAAGCCAGUCGAAGAGCGAGUGAAGUUUGUGUAUUCUGAGAAAUUAUGCUUUGGUUGUCUCAAGAUUGGACAUAGCUCCAAGCAUUGCAUCUCUAGAAGUGUCUGUGAGAAAUGUGGAAAACAUCAUCCAACCUGUCUACAUCAAGACUGGGGGGAAAAACCAAUAUGUGAAGGUCGUCAAAUGCAGUCUACUGUUAGCCAGGGAUCCGCAGAAAGUAAAUGUGAGCAACCCAAUGACUAUCUAGAGACAUCGUUGGCAAUUUCCAACAGGGUUAUUCAAUAUGAUAGGAACACUCAUACGUCAUCAAUUCUCCCUGUGUACGUGUCAUCAGCAACUAAUCCUGAAGAAGAGACUUUGGUGUACGCCUUGCUCGACACUCAGAGCGACACUACCUUUAUUCUGAAGGACAUAGCUGAUUUGUUACCUGUAAAGCAAGAUCCUGUGAGGCUCAAUAUCUCCACAAUCACAUCAAAAACAAUGGUUGUGUCAAGCAAUAAGUUGUAUGGACUACAGGUAAGAGGUUUGAGGUCUGAAGAAAGAAUCAACCUUCCAGUUACAUAUACUAGAGAAUAUAUACCUGCAAAUAAAUCUGACAUACCUACCUGUAAGUCUGCAAAAAGUUGGCCUCAUUUAGAACAUCUAGCUGACGAGAUGGCACCUGAACUUGACUGUGAAGUGGGAUUGCUGAUCGGUUAUAACUGUUCCCAAGUCUUGCUUCCCAGAAAUGUGGUCAGUGGUAAGGAAGGUGAACCGUUUGCUCAGAAAUCUGUGUUGGGGUGGAGCAUUAUUGGCUACAGCAACCCUGACAAUGGGUUUGCAGAUGAAAUUGGAAUCAGUCAUCGAAUCAUCUCAAAAGAAGUCCUUCCAGCCACUCAAACUCCUCAACCAAUUAAGUCUGAAGUCCACUUUGUGUAUCAAACUAAAGUAAAAGAAAUGUUUACACCAGCGGACAUGUUGAAGAUCUUUGAGUUAGAUUUUACAGCAAAGGAACUUAUAGACUCUAACUGGUUCACUAGGCCAAGUUUCCUGUGGCAACGAGAACUCCCCAAAGAUGAGGUCAAGGCAGAAGAAAGUGAUAGCGACCCAGAGCUCAGAAGGGCCCAAGUCCUCACAACCAAAGUGACAGAGCAAAACGUCUUUGUUGAAUCGUUGCAGAAUUUUUCGGAUGGGGAAAGAAUGGUGAAGGCUAUAGCAAGACUGAAGUGUUGGGCAAGGAAGGUAAAGGGGCGAAAAGAGAGAUCAGAGUCUACAAGACUUAAAGAAAGGAAAGAGGUGAAAUCAAAUCAGCCCUUUAGACUGCACAGGUUACGCCCAUUUGUAGAUGAACACAAUAUUCUGAGAGUGGGAGGAAGGUUGACUAAAUGGAAGAAGGAGUAUCUUUUGAAUCUACAACAAAGGAGUAAGUGGAGUAAGAACCAUCGAGAGACAAAGGUCAAUGAUGUUGUCUGUCUUCAAGAUGACCUGGAUCCACGAAACCGUUGGAAGCUUGCCAAAGUUGUUGAAGUCUUUCCAGGAUCUGAUGGGUGGGUCAGGAAGGUCAAAGUUUUAGUCAGUGAUGCAACAUUAGAUUGUAAAGGUGCAUGCACUAUUAAGUCAGUGUAUUUAGAAAGACCUGUACACAAAACAAUAUUUUUAUUUGAGCCUGAUUAAGGUGUGAGAUUUUAAAUCAUAGAUUAUGUUGAUUUAUUGUAAGUUUUUGAGGUUCAUGUGAAAGAUUGUGUGUGUGUGAUUUAACUUACCUUUGGGUUUUCAGAAUCACAUUUAUGUGAUGGUGGGAGUGUGGCUGCAGCUACAGAAGUUUAAUGGUUUCCACCUAGUCUUGCAUAUUCUGCACAAUUAAAGUAAUAAUUUCUGAUUUUAUAUAUUUUUGUAAUGUACAUAUUUAUAUGAAGUUGAUGAUGAUUGUAUUGGAUGGACUCAAUUUCCCAUGAUGCAUCUGUCACACAUUGGAAUGUAUUGGAUGGACUCAAUCUCCCAUGAUGCAUCUGUGUCACUUCCUGUUUGGUGAAUCUAAUGAAUUAGCUGGUGAGGCUACAGAGGGUAAGCUACCUGUUUGAGGUGCUGCAUGCUUCAUUGUGUCUCAUGUGUACAAAGGUUCAUAUUGUUUAUGGUCAACUCAACAACGAAUUGUGACAUCCUCUCUUGGUUUACAAGCCGGUAAAGUGUUCUACGUUGUUUAUGUUUCCUUGUUGGAGAAAUAAAACAUCAGUUUGGAGAACCUGGCCUUGGAUUUGUGACUAAGAGCGGUACA